UUCAUCUAAAAAAAAUUUUUUUUUUAAGUUGCAUAAAGUGUGCCACAUAUGACUUCUUUCACUGCAAAUUUUAGAUUCUCACUUGAGAAUUCCCUGUCCUUUUUCUGAUGACUUCCAGACAAGAGGCCAGGGAAAGAUGACUCAACUGAGAUCUGGUCAGAACCAAUGAAGAUUAAAUUAUAUUAGUCUCUGUAAUGGUGAGAGUAGUCAGUGUUGCUGAGCCUGAGAUAAUUUAACUAAUUACAGGAACUUAGUGGUAAAUUCACCAAUCACUGGGGCUUCGAAAUUUAUUUGGGUCUCGUAGUUUUCUAUGAAAUGCAGAGAUUAUAAUUAUUGAUCUUAAGCUUCCUUCUAAUAUAAUCCACUUGGCAUAGUGGCUGGAACAUGGUAAAUGUUUCAUCAGUGUUGCUCUCAGGAUGAACAUCUAUCUCAGAUAAGGAAACCACCUUGUUAACUCUUUUCCCUGCUACAUUAUGAAAAAUUGAACGAUUUUGUUUUCUCUAAGCUUUCAAGUUGAUAGCUUUUUUCUGAGUCUUUUUAAGUUUUGAAAUCUGAUUUUCAUAUUAGGUAUUAGAUAAAAAUUAUUCUUAAGUGACCUUCUUCCCACCACUCUGCUGAAACAGCAAGUAUGUGUAGAGAAGAAUACAAUUUUAGCAGGAGAGUUAACCAAGGUAAAACUUUAAUUCCAAUCUUCAGCCUAGAGGGAAAAAAAAAAGGUAAGAAAAAAAUUUUCAUUUGUCUAAGGGACAUUUAUUUCAUGUUGUUUGUUUAUGACUGUGGGGAUGUGUUUUGGAGGGAAAGAGGCAUAAUUUGAGAAAUCAUUCUGGAUUAAUAUAUGCAAAUCUUUUUUAGAGUAGAGUUUUAAAGAUUUUAAAAGCAAAGGAAAUAAAUAAACAAAAACUAUGAAUAUUUUUCCUGACAUAAGAAAAUAAUAUAUGAAUUAUAAGCAUUGACUGAGUCAUUUAGAUUGAGCUGAUAGAUGGAAAUAUAGACCUUUACAACAUAGAGACAUCAAAGUAAAUAUAUUUGAAGACUCUUCCUGGCAAUAUGGAAGGAUGAUGUAUUCCUAAAAAUUUGGGCAUGAUGUUUAAUGUUUAAAUGUAUAAUGUUUAGUAAAAAGUUCAGGCUCUUGAGAAACUAGCUGGUAUACAGCCUGGCUCUUCUCUCUCAAUUGUAUGACAGAGCAUGUUUCUUAGUCUGUGUUUCCUCAACUUAAAAUUGGGAGCAAUAGUAGUGCUUACUGCCCAAUGUUUGGGGAAGGAUAAAUGAGUAAUUAUAUAUGACAAUGCUAGUAUUUGACAGUUAAUAAGCAUUUCAGUAGUGGUAGUUGAGAUUGGCAGUAAGGAAGUUUUACUGAACUCUAUGCAAGUUUCUCAUCUCUAACACACAAGUGAAUAUGACUACUAAUUCAAGAAAAUGCACCGAAGAUGUCACAAUCUUCCCAUCUGUUAUGGUUUGGACAUGAGGAGUCCCCCAGAAAGCUCCCAUGUUAAUGCAGGAAUAUUCAGAGGUGAAAUGGUUAGGCUGUGAGAGCUGUGACCUAAUCGGUCCAUCCUACUGACUGGGUGGACUAUAGGCAGGGUGGGUCGUGGCUGGAGGAGGUAGGUCACUGGGAGCAUGCCUUGGAAGGGUUGCUCUUCCCUCUGGCCCCUUUCCCUUGCUCUCUCUGCUUCCUUACAUGAGGUGGACAGCACUCCACCACUUCUUUCUGCCGUGAUGUUCUGCCUCACCGUGGGUCCAGAGAAAUUGGCUUGGUUGACGAUGGACUAAACCUCUGAAACCAUUAGCCAAAAUAAAUUUUUGCUCCUCUAAGUUGUUCUUGUCAGGUAUUUUGGUUACAGUGAUGAAAAGAUGACUAAUACACCAUUUUUAACACACCAUCUUUCACUCCAAAUUCCUAGAAAUGGUAGAAAACUGACAUAAAUGAUGGCAGAUGGUAUUCAAGUGAAGAGUACUGCAGAAGAUAUGAGUGGACCAAGGAAUGAUCCGCACUAUUUGGAACAAACAUACCAGGAACAAGAGUUGGUCUUGGGACAACUGAUAGGACGACCGUCUGAAGAACAACAGGUAUUGUGGUUAGGAGGAAUUACCCUAUCUUCCUGAGUUCUGGGAUCUGGACUUUGAAAAGGUUACAAAAGUCUCUCCCUUCAUGAUGCGGAAAGCAGUUGGCCACGGUGAUGCUCAUCGACUUCAAGUACCAACUUGCUUGGGAAUUGUGAUGCUGUACAGGGUCACUUGGCACCGAGAGACCUGUCUGGCACCUGUAUUCUCCACUCUCACUGACCCUCGCUGCAGUGAUGCUAUACUUGGAGGUCGAGGUCUGAAUGGCUGUGCCGUUGAGAAACCACCGUGUGGAGUUGUCUCCAGGCCGUUGCGGCCCCUCACACAAUAGGGUGACCUGUUCAUCUUGGAACACACUUACCCACGGAGGCUGCAAGGUUAACGGAACUCAUCCUUUGGAAGAAAGACAGUGGCCUAAGAGGAGAAUCUGAGGUAGCCAUCACUUACCCACUUGCCCACCAGCUGGAACUGCAGAUGGAAGAGCAGAGACAUCAGGUGCAUGAGACAAGAACCUUCCAAUGCUCCUGUGACCCUGUGUCACACAGUGAUAGCUGUCUGACAGAAGUGGAAAACAAGGAAGACUUGAGAGGAACUCAAGAUGUUCUGAGAGAGAUGAGAGAAGCCUCAGGUCCAUGAGAUUUACCUUCAAAGACGUUCAUAACUCUUAUACUAUUUUGUCUCCAAAGUUAGCUUCUAUACAGAUGUACCGUAAUUUCUUUCAUCAGCCUUUCUUCAUGGACACAGAGUAUAUUUCUAACUUUUUGUUAUGAUCCGCUCUGCAAUACCUUUAAACAUUUGACUUAUUAUUUCCUUAGGACACAUAUCUAAAAUCAGCACUGCUCAAAGAAGGUUUCAAUUUUUUCUUUUGGAUAAAAGAUUAUUGUCAUCUUUUAUGUCAGAUUAUCAUCAUUGUUGCAAUCUCACUGGCAGGGAAUAUUUUAUAAUGAUGACAAGUAGCAUUAUAGAUUUAAUUAGAGCCUUGAUUUUUUUCCCCUCAAUCUACCAAUAUUUGUACUGUAUGUCAGAUAGUUAUGCUAUGAUUAUGUAUAAAGACAUGAAUGGUGUGAAUAUACUUUGUAUACAACCAGAGAUCUGAAAAUAUGUGCUCUAUAUGUGUAAUAUGAAUUAUAAUGCAUUCUGCUGUCAUUAGAAUGAAAAAUAAAAAAUAGGGAUUUCUAUUUUGCUAAAUCCAAUAUUGUAAUAUGGUCAAUACUUAAUAUUGUAAUGAGACUUUUAGUCCCUCUCCCCAAAUCUAUAGUUAUAAAACAGACCCACAGUACUCCUAAUUUUAAUUUCCCUGUUUAUUAAUAAAGUUGAACAAUUUUUCCUAUA